AUACGGAGGAUGCGAGCGUUAUCCGGAUUUAUUGGGUUUAAAGGGAGCGUAGGUGGGAUAUUAAGUCAGCUGUGAAAGUUUGGGGCUCAACCUUAAAAUUGCAGUUGAUACUGGUUUCCUUGAGUACGGUAUAGGUGGGCGGAAUUCGUGGUGUAGCGGUGAAAUGCUUAGAUAUCACGAAGAACUCCGAUCGCGAAGGCAGCUCACCGGGCCGGAACUGACACUGAUGCUCGAAAGUGCGGGUAUCAAACAGGAUUAGAUACCCUGGUAGUCCGCACAGUAAACGAUGAAUACUCGCUGUUUGCGAUACACGGUAAGCGGCCAAGCGAAAGCGUUAAGUAUCCCACCUGGGGAGUACGCCGGCAACGGUGAAACUCAAAUGAAUUGACGGGG
rnacentral:rRNA from 1 species